AUGUUCCCGUGGCUGGCGUUCGGGCACAUGCUCCCGUUCCUCGACCUCUCCAGGCGCCUCGCCGCCCGCGGCCACGCCGUCGCCUUCGUCUCCACGCCGCGGAACAUCGCCAGGCUCCCGUCCGUGCCGCCGCACCUGUCAGGCCGCCUCCGGUUCGUGCCGCUGCCAAUGCCGCGCGUCGACGGGCUGCCGGAGGGCGCCGAGUCCACCGCCGACGUGCCGCCCGGGGAGGACGGGCUCCUUAAGAUGGCCAUGGACGGGCUCUCAGCCCCUCUCGCCGCGUUCCUCGCGGACGCCGUCGCCGCUGGCAGGAGGCCCGACUGGAUCGUCCAUGACUUCUGCCACCACUGGGUCCCGCCCAUCGCCGACGAGCACAAGGUACCCUGUGCAGUAUUCGAGAUCGUCCUCGCCGGCCUGGUCGCCUUUAUGGGAUCACGGGGGGCACACACGGCGCAUCCCCGCACGACGUUGGAGGACUUCACCGUUGCGCCCGGGUGGUAUCCCUUCCCUUCCACCGUGGCAUACCGUCGGCACGAGGCCGGGUGGCUCGCCGGCACUUUCCGGCCCAACGCGUCCGGCGUUCCCGACAUACAUCGAUUCUGGCAGAUGAACGAGCGUUGUCGCCUCGCCAUCUACCGCAGUUGCGACGAGGUCGAGCCCGGGAUGCUCGCCCUCCUCACCGACCUCUUCCAGAAGCCUUCCAUCCCCGCCGGGGUCCUGCUGCCGCCUCCCGACCUCGGCGGCGAUGACGGCGGUGUCCGCCCCGAUGUCCUGCGAUGGCUCGAUGACCAGCCCGCAAAGUCAGUCAUCUACGUAGCGCUCGGGAGUGAGGCGCCAGUGACGCUAAAGAACCUGCACGAGCUCGCGCUCGGGCUUGAGCUCGCCGGCGUGCGCUUCCUGUGGGCUCUCCGGACGCCCGGAGGCAUGUCCGACUCCGGCACCGGUGCGGACGACCGCGGCGUGCUGCCCGACGGGUUCGAGGAGAGGACGCGUGGGCGUGGCAUGGUCGAGACUGGGUGGGUGCCGCAGGUGAGGGCGCUCGCGCACGGCGCGGUAGCCGCGUUCCUGACGCACUGCGGGUGGGGCUCCACCGUGGAGAGCUUCGCGUUCGGCCACCCGCUGGUGAUGCUCCCGUUCGUCGUCGACCAGCCGCUCGUCGCGCGGACCAUGGCGGAGAAGGGGGUCGGCGUGGAGGUGGCGAGGGACGAGGCCGACGGCUCGUUCGACAGGGACGGCGUUGCCGCGGCGGUGCGGCUCGUCAUGGUGGACGGCGAGGGGAAGGUGCUCGCGAGCAACGCCAAGAAGCUGCAGGAGGUUCUCGCCGAUCAGGAGCGGCAGGAACGGUACAUCGACGACGUUGUCAAGCACCUGAGACGUUACCACAUUUGUGUGUUGUGA
rnacentral:rRNA from 1 species